UUGGGGGUGGUGUGGGUGAUCCUAUGCUGCCUAGAAAAGCUUCGUGAGCGAGUUGUGAGCCGCCCGUACCCCAAACCGACACAGGUGGAUAGGUAGAGAAUACCAAGGCGAUCGAGAGAAUCGUGGUGAAGGAACUCGGCAAAAUACCCCCGUAACUUCGGGAUAAGGGGGACCUGAACCGUGAACACCCUUGCGGUGGGAAGCGGGGAGGGUCGCAGAGACCAGGCCCAAGCGACUAUUUACUAAAAACACAGGUCCGUGCGAAGUUGAAAGACGAUGUAUACGGACUGACUCCUGCCCGGUGCUGGAAGGUUAAGGGGAACUGUUAGCGCAAGCGAAGCGGUGAACUUAAGCCCCAGUAAACGGCGGUGGUAACUAUAACCAUCCUAAGGUAGCGAAAUUCCUUGUCGGGUAAGUUCCGACCUGCACGAAUGGAGUAACGAUUUGGGCGCUGUCUCCACCACGAACUCGGCGAAAUUGCAUUACGAGUAAAGAUGCUCGUUACGCGCAGCAGGACGGAAAGACCCCGGGACCUAUACUAUAGUUUGGUAUUGGUGAUCGGUACGACUUGUGUAGGAUAGGUGGGAGACUUUGAAGCUGUCACGCCAGUGAUGGUGGAGUCAACGUUGAAAUACCACUCUGGUCGUUCUGGUUAUCUAACCUCGGACCCUGAUCGGGUUCAGGGACAGUGCCUGAUGGGUAGUUUGACUGGGGCGGUCGCCUCCCAAAAGGUAACGGAGGCGCCCAAAGGUUCCCUCAGCCUGGUUGGCAAUCAGGUGUUGAGUGUAAGUGCACAAGGGAGCUUGACUGUGAGACAGACAUGUCGAGCAGGGACGAAAGUCGGGACUAGUGAUCUGACGGUGGCGUGUGGAAGCGCCGUCACUCAACGGAUAAAAGGUACCCCGGGGAUAACAGGCUGAUCUUGCCCGAGCGUCCAUAGCGACGGCAUGGUUUGGCACCUCGAUGUCGGCUCGUCGCAUCCUGGGGCUGGAGUCGGUCCCAAGGGUUGGGCUGUUCGCCCAUUAAAGCGGCACGCGAGCUGGGUUUAGAACGUCGUGAGACAGUUCGGUCCCUAUCCGCUGCGCGCGUUAGAGUCUUGAGAAGGGCUGUCCUUAGUACGAGAGGACCGGGACGGACCAACCUCUGGUGUGCCAGUUGUCCUGCCAAGGGCACGGCUGGUUGGCUACGUUGGGAAAUGAUAACCGCUGAAAGCAUCUAAGCGGGAAGCACGCUUCAAGAUGAGGACUCUCACCACCAUCGAGUGGGUAAGGCCCCCUACAGACCAUGGGGUUGAUAGGCCAGACGUGGACGCACAGCAAUGUGUGGAGCUGACUGGUACUAAUAGGCCGAGGGCUUGU
rnacentral:rRNA from 1 species